AGUGAACGCUGGCGGUAGGCCUAACACAUGCAAGUCGAACGGCAGCACAGUAAGAGCUUGCUCUUACGGGUGGCGAGUGGCGGACGGGUGAGGAAUACAUCGGAAUCUACUUUUUCGUGGGGGAUAACGUAGGGAAACUUACGCUAAUACCGCAUACGACCUACGGGUGAAAGCAGGGGAUCUUCGGACCUUGCGCGAUUGAAUGAGCCGAUGUCGGAUUAGCUAGUUGGCGGGGUAAGGGCCCACCAAGGCGACGAUCCGUAGCUGGUCUGAGAGGAUGAUCAGCCACACUGGAACUGAGACACGGCCCAGACUCCUACGGGAGGCAGCAGUGGGGAAUAUUGGACAAUGGGCGCAAGCCUGAUCCAGCCAUACCGCGUGGGUGAAGAAGGCCUUCGGGUUGUAAAGCCCUUUUGUUGGGAAAGAAAAGCAGCAGGUUAAUACCCCGCUGUUCUGACGGUACCCAAAGAAUAAGCACCGGCUAACUUCGUG
rnacentral:rRNA from 1 species